GAAGGGCGAUAAAGCUGUAAGUCUCAUUCCUAACUCACCUGUGCUGGCGGAUGAUGGACACCCACUUACUAUACUGACUUGUCCUAUUGACCAGGCUUGAAAAUCGUCGGCAGCAAAUCAAGAACCGCUUUUACAAAUAUUAAGAUGCGAACGAGCGGUAGCUGUUCUGAUGUGGUCGCACGCACUCUUUUGGACGACUCGCAUCGGACGUGGUUGCCAACUACUACAUCGGCAGCUCAGCUUUUCCGAAGAAUGUCGUCACGCCAUAGAAAAAUUCACCCC
rnacentral:lncRNA from 1 species